UUGACCUACGGGGGGCAGCAGUGAGGAAUAUUGGUCAAUGGGCGGGAGCCUGAACCAGCCAAGUCGCGUGAGGGACGACGGUCCUAUGGAUUGUAAACCUCUUUUGUCGGGGAACAAAGGCGUCCACGGGUGGGCGGAUGAGUGUACCCGAAGAAAAAGCAUCGGCUAACUCCGUGCCAGCAGCCGCGGUAAUACGGAGGAUGCGAGCGUUAUCCGGAUUUAUUGGGUUUAAAGGGAGCGUAGGUGGAUUGUUAAGUCAGUUGUGAAAGUUUGCGGCUCAACCGUAAAAUUGCAGUUGAAACUGG
rnacentral:rRNA from 1 species